GUUUUGCCAUCGCGGCUCAGACCGCUGAAGUAGAAGGACUUGAUGUGCACAAGAUAUCCAGAAAGCGAGAGAGAGAAGAGAAAAUGUGCACUGAGUUUGCCAGUCUCCCAGACAGUAAUCUAGCACUCAUGCAGAGUUUACAGCACUGCCCUUUGUAGAAAAAGAGACCUCAUGAAACAUGGACUACAACAUGACAGUCCAGCACAGCACCAGGACCAACCAUGUUAAAGACUUUCAAACAUACUGGACACACUUUAACAUUUGUCAAGGCAUCAAACCCCUGAUGGUGUUCUGACACCAGAGAAGCUUUCCUAAUCAAGAA